GUCAAGCGCACCUCAUGGAGUCGUGUGCUGGCGGGGUCUGAAAGAUCUUUUCAGGUGGCUGGUGCACACGUAAUGGCGUACCAGGCGUUCUACCUUGCGUGUCUUCGCUUUGACGUUGCCAUAUGCCCAACCACGAAACGAAGGAAGACAGCCCCUGUUAUUGGAUGAUGGAUUUUCACGCCAAAAUCGCGACGUAGCCAGUCAUUCGAUGUUUCGCUUCCGUCUGCAAUCACUGACGCACAUUCAAAGUGAUGGAGGGCCGCCGUCCUGAUCGUACCUUGAAUGGCAGUCUGAUAGGGCAGUCGAAGCGAAGCAGUUUAGCGGCCAGGAUAUUCGUCAGCAACCACAUCAGCGCGCAAGCUACAGCGCAGGAGUGUACAGGUAUCCAUCAACCGCCUGGCCCAAGAACGAGCCUUAGUAAGCGAUCGUCAUGUCUCUUUCAUUGUGACCUUCACGAAACGAGGAGUGGGCCCAAAUAUCCUUUGUGUUGGCAUGAGAGCCUGAGAAGUCGGACUGUGUUGUCUAUGAUAACCUGCCGAGACCUUCUUAGCGAGGUGCAACAGCACCGAACCGCUCUGAUACCUGCUACGAAUCAGAGGAGACCCCUGCGCACCUACUGAUCAACGUCGACAACACUU